rnacentral:rRNA from 1 species
UACGAAGGGGGCGAGCGUUGUUCGGAUUUACUGGGCGUAAAGGGCGCGCAGGCGGCUCGUUUUGUCAGGCGUGAAAGCCCCGGGCUUAACCUGGGAAUUGCGUUUGAUACGGACGGGCUAGAGUUCGGGAGAGGAGAGUGGAAUUCCCAGUGUAGAGGUGAAAUUCGUAGAUAUUGGGAAGAACACCGGUGGCGAAGGCGGCUCUCUGGACCGAGACUGACGCUGAGGCGCGAAAGCGUGGGGAGCAAACGGG